CACGUAGGGUGCGAGCGUUGUCCGGAAUUACUGGGCGUAAAGAGCUCGUAGGUGGUUUGUCGCGUUGUUCGUGAAAACUCACAGCUCAACUGUGGGCGUGCGGGCGAUACGGGCAGACUUGAGUACUGCAGGGGAGACUGGAAUUCCUGGUGUAGCGGUGGAAUGCGCAGAUAUCAGGAGGAACACCGGUGGCGAAGGCGGGUCUCUGGGCAGUAACUGACGCUGAGGAGCGAAAGCGUGGGGAGCGAACAGG
rnacentral:rRNA from 1 species